rnacentral:rRNA from 1 species
GAUGACAUUAGCUGCAGAAUAAGCACCGGCUAACUCUGUGCCAGCAGCCGCGGUAAUACAGAGGGUGCAAGCGUUAAUCGGAAUUACUGGGCGUAAAGCGAGCGUAGGUGGCUUGAUAAGUCAGAUGUGAAAUCCCCGGGCUUAACCUGGGAACUGCAUCUGAAACUGUUAGGCUAGAGUAGGUGAGAGGGAAGUAGAAUUUCAGGUGUAGCGGUGAAAUGCGUAGAGAUCUGAAGGAAUACCGAUGGCGAAGGCAGCUUCCUGGCAUCAUACUGACACUGAGGCUCGAAAGCGUGGGUAGCAAACAGGAUUAGAUACCCUGGUAGUCCACGCCGUAAACGAUGUCUACUAGUCGUUGGGUCCCUUGAGGACUUAGUGACGCAGCUAACGCAAUAAGUAGACCGCCUGGGGAGUACGGCCGCAAGGUUAAAACUCAA